UACGGAGGGUGCAAGCGUUACUCGGAAUCACUGGGCGUAAAGAGCGUGUAGGCGGGUAGUUAAGUCAGAAGUGAAAUCCAAUAGCUCAACUAUUGAACUGCUUUUGAAACUGAUUACCUAGAAUAUGGGAGAGGUAGAUGGAAUUUCUGGUGUAGGGGUAAAUCCGUAGAGAUCAGAAGGAAUACCGAUUGCGAAGGCGAUCUACUGGAACAUUAUGACGCUGAGACGCGAAAGCGUGGGGAGCAAACAGG
rnacentral:rRNA from 1 species